rnacentral:tRNA from 1 species
GGUAGGAUGGCUGAGACAAGCGGUGGAUUGUAACCCCACAUACAGAGGUGUGAGUCCUCUUCUUAUCA